AGUGGCCAAAGGUGGCGCCAUGCAUGUGACGUGCUAGGUGGCCUUUACAUGGUGCGGCACAUGGAGCCAUGUAAUCGGAUGGGCAUUAUAUUGAGAUAGUGGGGCGCCUCAUGGUGCUACAUAAGCCAUCCAAUAGGAAAUCACGUGGUGCAGCGCAUGGAACAAAUUCCAUUACGUGCAUGGGCCAUGCAAAGCGUGAAUUUAAAGUGACCAAGGGCUGGUGGAGCGCAGGUGAACGUCCAAGGUGAGCAGCACGUGAACCCAAGAAAUUGAACAUGCAUGAUGACAAGUGUGACCAGCCCAUGUGGGCGCAUGCAUGGUGAAACAGCCCAUGGACCAAGCACUUACGUGCAUGAGGAAAUUGGACCAGCCAUGCAACGUGAAAAAUGGGAUAGUGCAGUCCAUAUGGACACAUGGGCCAGCAGAUGGACCAACAAUUGGCGCCUCAAUUUCCCUCCUCCAAUUCAAAUGCUACGGGUGGUUGGUGAGCAGGCCAUACCUCCCGCUCCCCUUUGUCCUUCACGCCACCUGCUCCCACUCAUUAAUUAUUUUAAUUGUUGCCAUGUAAAUUCAGCCACACGUGGGGACUCACAAGGGACAGCCGGCCAAGCUUGUAUAUAAAAGGGACUUUGUUCCCAUUUCUUGCACGUAGAGAGAGUGUGAGCUUGAGUGAGUUGAGCGGCAGCACCAUUGUUUGAGAGUUGAGAGUUUUUCCUUUGGCAAAUGUAUAGCUUUGUGUAAAGGAAUAAAAGAAGUAGCUUUCUACUUCGUAAACCCUUGUCUCUACCUUUCUUUAUGCUUGUUGUGGAUGCAUGGUUGUCUUUGUGUUGAUUGGUGCGCAUUGUGGGAUUGUUGCUUGCCUUGUGACCGUGUAUGGUUGUUAGAAGCUUGAGGUUGUCUUGCGUGAAUGGUGGCUUAUUGCUUGAAGUUGAGCUUGAGCCAUUGUUGAGGUAAGUAACUUGAUUGCCUUGCCACCGUGAAUAUCAUUGUUGCUUGCUAAUUGUUAUUGUGCGCAUGGUGUUGAGUUUGGGACUCUUGUGCGUGACCUUCAUUUAUUGUUGCCUUGCGUGAUUGUUGGACCCUCGUUGCGGUUUGGAAUACUUGUGGUUGGGUAUUAUUGCGUGAGGAGACUUACUUGUUGCUUGGUGAUGAUUCGGCCAUUAUAAUUCUUUGUUGUGUAAUUGUUAUUGCCGUGUGACUCCUUGUAGUGAGGUUAGUGGUGAUUUCGGCCAUUGUAAUUCCUUGUGAAGAAUUAUUGCCGUGGGAACUCUUGUUGUUUGGUUGUGGCCGUGAGCUUUGGGGUGACUUGGUAUUGGGUCAUUGUCGUGAGGUUCUAGUGCAAGAGUUGUGGCCGUGAGACAUUUUGUCUUUGGAGGGGUUGCCGUGUGAACCUUUGGUGCAAGGUGUGGUAACCGUGUGAUCCGUGGGACAAUUUGAGAGGCUGACUUGUUGGUGGAACAAGUGCCGCACGGGUUUGG
rnacentral:misc_RNA from 1 species